rnacentral:rRNA from 1 species
AGGGUUUGAUUAUGGCUCAGGAUGAACGCUGGCGGCGUGCUUAACACAUGCAAGUCGAACGAAGCACUUUAUUUGAUUUCCUUCGGGACUGAUUAUUUUGUGACUGAGUGGCGGACGGGUGAGUAACGCGUGGGUAACCUGCCUUGUACAGGGGGAUAACAGUUGGAAACGGCUGCUAAUACCGCAUAAGCGCACAGCAUCGCAUGAUGCAGUGUGAAAAACUCCGGUGGUAUAAGAUGGACCCGCGUUGGAUUAGCUAGUUGGUGAGGUAACGGCCCACCAAGGCGACGAUCCAUAGCCGACCUGAGAGGGUGACCGGCCACAUUGGGACUGAGACACGGCCCAA